UUUGCUUUCUUAUCAGUCUGGCAAGAUGGAAGUAUUUAUUAGUUAGCACGGAUGACAAGCCGUUGAAUAACGUAGUAGAGAACUAGUCAUUUGGCAAAAUUCGGCUCAUACUCCUAAACGUGUUGCAUUCUUUCUACGUGAAUUGUUGAUACAAUACUAUUGCAAUGGACUUUCGUACCAUAUUCCUGUUUCUGGUCGCCGGGUACGUUGCAGAUUGUUCACGAAUCCUUGCAAUAUUUCCGUACCAGGGUCGAAGUCACAACAUAAUGUUCGAGCCUUUGAUGAUCGGUUUGGCACGUGCAGGCCACACAGUUGACGUAGUCAGUCAUUUUCCACUAGAAAAGCAGGUGGCAGGCUUUAACCACAUUAGUCUGAAAGGCACACUGCACUUCUACGUCAAUAAUGUAACCGCAUCACUUGCACGAAAAGAGAAUGGAGUGUACCAAACAUUGAAAUUUCUUUCUCACCAAGAACCCGAAAGCCUCUGCAGCCUGAUGCGAUUACCGCAAGUCCAAAAUGUCAUCAAUUCGGACACCAAGUAUGACAUCUUCAUCACCGAGAUACUGGGGUCAAACUGUUACCUUGCUGUGGCUCACAAAAUGAAGAUUCCAUUCGUUGGAAUCGUUACCAAUGUCAUGUACUCCUGGGCUAUUGAUCCUGUGUUCGGCGACGCGAAUCCAAGUUUCAUUCCGUCACAGUUGUCGACUUUUACAAACAAGAUGAGUUUCUUUGAACGCGUGGAGAAUCUCAUGAUUCAUGUGUAUUCAAAGUUUCUCUUCUCAUAUUUCGACAAAACAGUAUCUGAUCCACUCACUAAAACAUACUUCGAGGAUGUUCCACCACUGAAUGACAUCUACAAUAACAUGAGUCUGGUAUUAGCCAAUAGUCAUUUUAGUAUCCACGGUGUCCGUCCAGGGAACUCAGCCAUCGUUGAAGUAGCAGGUCUGCACAUCGACGAAACCCAAGUGCUUUCAGAGGAAUUGGAGACGUAUUUGAAUUCCUCUAAGGAUGGCGUGGUGUACUUCAGUAUGGGUACGAUGUUGAGGUCUGACACAUUCCCGGUGGAACGGAUAUUAGCAAUGUAUGAAAGUUUUUCGGAACUGAAAAAUUACAAAGUCUUAUGGAAGGGAAACUUGGAGGAUAUGCCAAAACCGUUACCGUCAAACGUCAAGAUAGUUCCAUGGGCACCACAGUACGCAGUACUCCGUCACCCGAAAGUAAAAGCAUUCGUGACGCAUGGGGGUUUGAUGGGGACCCAGGAAGCGAUACACGUCGGAGUUCCUAUGAUUGGGAUCCCGUUCUUCUCUGACCAGACGUUUAACAUAAUGGGAUACGUGCAGAGAGGCUUCGCCGUUCACCUCGACUACGACGAUAUAAGCAAAGCGAGCUUUUCCAAGGCCUUAACGGAGGUACUGUCCGACCCGAAGUAUCAAUCUAACGCAGCACGUUACUCAAGACUGUUCAGGGAUCGUCCUCUAUCGCCGAUGGAUGAGGCCAUUUUCUGGAUCGAAUACGUAAUUCGUAAUGGAGGCGAGCCACUCAGGUCCUCGGGUCGUCAUCUUAACUGGUUUCAGUAUUACUUGAUAGAUGUAGGUCUAUUUUUAUUUUUUAUAACAGUCCUCGUCAUUACUGUCGCAUUCACCUUCGUAAAAAAAGUACUCCAUUUUAUUGCACGCAAACUGAGUUAUGAGCAUCCGAUUAAAGAUAAAUCUUCCUAGACGCGUGUGUAAAAUAGAUAUAUUUAUACUGUGAAUAUUAAGAGUAAGUUCAUCUUCCAAAGUAGCAAGUAAGUAUUCUAGAGUCUCGUUCGCGCGAGCUCAAGCUUUCGGGUGAGUGGAUGUAGGUUAUGUCACAUCGAACUUGAAUAACCACCCAUCUGUAAGGUUUGGGUCAGCGUAUUUCUAAACCUCCUUCAACGUCUACUAUAAUAGGUCCGUGGCCGUGCGAAUGAAUUACAUUUUUCAACAACAUCACCAUCCACACAAAGUUCAAUUUCAAUAUUGAAUUCGCAGUUUGAAAAUCAUGAAAUUUCAAUUAGAUCGAUACUAUUAAGAGUCCAAUCAUUAGUAAUAAGGUACAUUACAUCGUUCCAAGAGAUACCGACAAAGCGUGGAAUUGUACGCGCUGAUAUAAGAGAUUCACGAUCUGUUGUCAUUUGAUGUAAGCGUAACCGUUAUUUAGUCCAUGAAUUCGUCAAAUAUCAGUCAUUAUUCUGUGCUUGUUAUUUAUGAUGAUUUACGAAGGUAUUACUACCGAGAUUGGGAUAAAUAUUGAACGAAAGUCCUUAAUUGAUAUGAGCUUGACAAUAUUGAGGAUUCCACAAUAGAUUAAGUAUACUUAUAUUGACAUAUAUCCGACGAGAUACGACCAAUAUACAAUCAGACACAGAGGGCAACCUCAACUUUGAAUAAGGGACAGUUUUUGCAAUGAAUUCACCUAAUUAACUCUCUAAAUUUGUAAAAAAAAAAAAUGUACAAUAUAAAUCCCCUUUUCCAGAUCGAAUAAAUGUUGAAUUAAUUCUUAUGCAUUCAUACUCUUGAAGACAAAAAUAUAAUUCUCAUGUUUUCCAGACAAGAA
rnacentral:misc_RNA from 1 species